rnacentral:rRNA from 12 species
GCUCGGUGAAAUUGUAGUAUCGGUGAAGAUGCCGGUUACCCGCAGUGGGACGAAAAGACCCCGUGCACCUUUACUAUAGCUUCGUAUUGACCUUGGUCAAACAAUGUGUAGGAUAGCUGGGAGGAUUUGAAGCGGUGUCGCCAGGCAUCGUGGAUCCAUUGUUGAAAUACCAGCCUUUGUUUGAUCGGGGCCUAACCCUUUUAGAAGGGAACAGUGCGUGGUGGGUAGUUUGACUGGGGUGGUCGCCUCCAAAA